UCCCUGAUGGUCCAGUGGCUAAGACUCUGUGCUCCCAAUUCAAGGGGCUCAGGUUCGAUCCCUGAUCAGGGAA
rfam:TPA: Bos taurus chromosome 25, whole genome shotgun sequence.